UUGACAUCCACAGAACUUUCCAGAGAUGGAUUGGUGCCUUCGGGAACUGUGAGACAGGUGCUGCAUGGCUGUCGUCAGCUCGUGUUGUGAAAUGUUGGGUUAAGUCCCGCAACGAGCGCAACCCUUAUCCUUUGUUGCCAGCGGUUCGGCCGGGAACUCAAAGGAGACUGCCAGUGAUAAACUGGAGGAAGGUGGGGAUGACGUCAAGUCAUCAUGGCCCUUACGACCAGGGCUACACACGUGCUACAAUGGCAUAUACAAAGAGAAGCGACCUCGCGAGAGCAAGCGGACCUCAUAAAGUAUGUCGUAAUCCGGAUUGGAGUCUGCAACUGWCGCCAUCUUUUCUUCCCGYUCCCGCUWU
rnacentral:rRNA from 1 species